rnacentral:tRNA from 1 species
GGAUUGUGGCUCAGUGGCAGAGCCCUUGCCUGGAAAGUAUGAGGCACUGGGUUCAAUCAUCAGCACCA